rnacentral:lncRNA from 1 species
GAUUCAGAGAUGGAUUUUUUAAUAUUAAUUUUGGGACUUCCACUCUCAGAAUAUCUUGCCCAGUAGUCAUACUGGCUGCAGUAUUUUGCUAUCUAAGAGGCCUAAUAAUGGCAUUAUAUUAUAGUAUAUUAUAGUACUACCCUUGUUUGGAGGCAUUCUGUGAAUUGUAAUACAAAAAAAAGGAACUUUCCCCAUGUUUGACUUUCAAAAAUCAACUAAAAACACUGAUGUUUCAGCAGGCCUUCCCCUCAGCUAAUUCCUGAUCUUCCCUUUUCUUCUCUCCUAGUGUCUCCCCGAUCCUAUCUAAUGUUUCUACCCUCAUAGUAUAUUAUAGUACUACCCUUGUUUGGAGGCAUUCUGUGAAUUGUAAUACAAAAAAAAGGAACUUUCCCCAUGUUUGACUUUCAAAAAUCAACUAAAAACACUGAUGUUUCAGCAGGCCUUCCCCUCAGCUAAUUCCUGAUCUUCCCUUUUCUUCUCUCCUAGUGUCUCCCCGAUCCUAUCUAAUGUUUCUACCCUCAUUUAAAAUUGUUUUAAUUAUAUUGUUAUAUAUAUGUGUUGUAAGCCGCCUAGAGUGGUCCUGAGGGACUAGAUAGGCGGGAUAUAAAUAAAAAAAAUAAAUAAAUAAAUAAAUCAUUCCAUGUAACAAAGUGACACCCAAAAACAUAACAAUCCUCUAAAACAAGAACUCUUUCAAAUUUAAGUACAUUUUCAUUGUUAAAUAAUCAAAUUUCAAGCUAGCUCUACUAACCCAGCCUAGUCUUACUAUUUAACAUUAGAAUCACCAAUCUUUAACACAGAGAGAGAACGUGUACUCCAAACCAGACAAGCAAUAAGGUGAGCAGCCCGAUCCUAUAUCGUCACAUGCUAGGCUCGCCUCCACACCUUGACCCGCUUACUCAACCAAUCCGGGCAAAGGAGGCGUGGUUUCGUUUCCACGGCAACGUUCCGGCCGGUCUGUGCUGUCAGCUCAAGCGUGGCCGUGGUUGCUAAGCAACCUCUCCGGCGGAGAGGCCUACCUGGCUUGAGGCCCUUCCUGGCGUUUAAUAGACCUGCAGCUGGGACAGGGGCAAGACCGGAGUGGGCGCUACUCAGUCCUCUCGCUCGAGACAAGAACGAACCUUCCGGAGACGGGAGUACAGAGGAGGCCUUUGUUUCUGGAGAAUGUCAGUCUUACCACAAAAUAUUUUC